rnacentral:lncRNA from 1 species
AUAAUAACAGAGAUCAUAGCAUCAUCUUAUACCAUGAAGUUUUAACAUGAAACUAAUAAAUGCUUUAGACUUAACUUCCAGAUUACAGUACGUUUAAAGCAAUAGAAGAGUUAAUGACAUUAAUUAUGACAAAUAUUCAAUAAGAUGACAAGUUUAGUUGUUCCAGAAAGUCAGAAUCUUAAUUGAAUUCUGCUUUAGGGAGAAAAAAACCUGCAAAAGACAUUUUGAGGACAAAUGGGAAAACC